AUGAAUGGGGAGCCUCUAAACAGGGAUCAUGGUUAUCCACUGCGAGUGGUUGUCCCAGGUGUUAUAGGUGCACGUUCUGUCAAAUGGUUGGAUUCCAUUAACAUAAUUGCAGAAGAAUGUCAGGGCUUCUUUAUGCAAAAGGACUACAAAAUGUUUCCCCCAUCAGUGAAUUGGGAUAACAUCAAUUGGUCUACAAGGAGGCCACAAAUGGAUUUCCCUGUUCAGUGUGCAAUUUGUUCUUUAGAGGAUAUGACU
rnacentral:misc_RNA from 1 species